GCGACGAGUAUUUUUGUAUGCAAUGUGCCCUUAACGUGUCUAAAACUUAUCUGUAGCGUUUUCAACGCUCGUGUAGCGUGUAUAUUAUGUGCGUGCAGUUUACAGGUACAUGUAUAUACGUUUGACAAACGCUUGAGCUGAAUGAUUUUUUUUAUGUUCCAUUAAAAUUUUCCUGAAGUAAAAGCGUUCACCAAGCGUAUACCUUUGCAUUUCGACGUACUUCAAACUUAUGGAACGCGUGUUUAAACGCUUGCGUAAAGUUCCUCUGGUGAGCAACUAAGUUACGCAUACGAUGAUACGGACUUUGUUAAUUUUCUUUUUUGACUGAUUGUUUUACAUUGUCAUUUCGGGGCCUUUUAUAGCCGACUAUGCGGUACGUGCUUUGCCUGUUGUUGAAGGCCGUACGGUGACCCAUAGUUUGUAUUUCUGUGUUAUUUUGGUUUCUUGCAGAUAGUUGUCUCAUUGACACCAAACCCGAUAUCUUCUUUUUUUAUAUUCGAUAUCUUAUCGCCGACCUGGUUAAGUCUGCUAAAAAUGCAUGCAUGAUUCAUUUUUAGGUUAUCAGUCGUAAUUAAAGUGGCACAUUUAAUUCGUUGUUUCAUUGCUUGAAGUAUCAUUUCUUACAUCUGCAUGGUCAAAUGUGUAUUUUUUUUAAAAUAAAUUUUAGAUUUAGAUUUCAGUCACGGUUAUUUUUUCCCCCUUCAUAUUGAAUAUCUAUACUUAUCAGUCGCAUUUUAAUGACGAAAAGGAUUCAGAGGUUAUUAAAAAAAAGUAAAUAAUGUUGCAAUAUUUAAACAAAGAAAAUAACUUUAAAUUUGCAAUAUUAAUGAAAAUAAAUACGGACAUAACUUUCAUAAUUAAUUUUAACGUUAUUUUCAAUAAACGAUUUUUUUU
rnacentral:lncRNA from 1 species